GGCUCGUUGGUCUAGGGGUAUGAUUCUCGCUUAGGGUGCGAGAGGUCCUUAGGGUGCGAGAGGGGUUCAAAUCCCGGACAGCCC